rnacentral:rRNA from 1 species
GACGAACGCUGGCGGCGUGCCUAAUACAUGCAAGUCGAGCGGGCCUCCGGAGGUGCUUGCACCUCCGGAAGGCCAGCGGCGGACGGGUGAGUAACACGUGGGCAACCUGCCUUUGAGGCCGGGAUAACACCGGGAAACCGGUGCUAAUACCGGAUGCGUCCCCUUUCGCGCCUGCGCGAGGGGAGAAAGACGGUCUUUAAGUCCGUCGCUCAAAGAGGGGCCCGCGGCGCAUUAGCUGGUUGGUGGGGUAAGGGCCUACCAAGGCGACGAUGCGUUGCCGACCUGGGAGGGUGAUCGGCCACACUGGGACUGAGACACGGCCCAGACUCCUGCGGGAGGCAGCAGUAGGGAAUCAUCCGCAAUGGGCGAAAGCCUGACGGUGCAACGCCGCGUGAGUGAGGAAGGUUUUCGGAUCGUAAAGCUCUGUUGUGAGGGAAGAACAGCUUCCGGAGGAAAUGCCGGAGGUUUGCCGGUACCUCACCAGAAAGCCCCGGCUAACUACGUGCCAGCCGCCGCAGUAAAAC